AUUAGCUGGGCGUGAUGGUGCAUGCCUGUGGUCCCAGCUACUUGGGAGGCUGAGGUGGGAGGAUCACCUGAGCCCAGGAGGUCAAUGCUGCAGUGAGCUGUGAUGGCACCACUGUACUCCAGCCUGGACAACAGAGUGAGACCCUGUCCCAGAAAAGAAAGAAAAAAAAAGGGCUACUUGGUGCUCCCCUGCCACUCUGCCUCUCACCUCUGCCGUUCAUACUCUACCAUCUCUCCCUACGCCUUUCCGCCCACCACUUUGCAAUGCCCUUGACUCUGUUCUCUCCCCAGUUUUCAUGCUGCCCACCCAGGUCCAGGCCCGGCCCCCUGAGGACUCAGACUCUGGCUCCGACUCAGAUUAUGAGCACUAUGACUUCAGCGCCCAGCCUCCUGUGGCCCUGACCACCUUCUACAAUUCCCAGCGGCAUCGGGUCACAGAUGAGGAGGUCCAGCAAAGCAGGUUCCAGAUGCCACCCUUGGAGGAA
rnacentral:sRNA from 1 species